CGUUGUAGGAUCGUCGUUGAAA
rnacentral:miRNA from 1 species